UACGGGGGGGGCAAGCGUUGUUCGGAAUUACUGGGCGUAAAGGGCUCGUAGGCGGCCAACUAAGUCCGACGUGAAAUCCCCAGGCUUAACCUGGGAACUGCGUCGGAUACUGGAUGGCUUGAAUUCGGGAGAGGGAUGCAGAAUUCCAGGUGUAGCGGUGAAAUGCGUAGAUAUCUGGAGGAAUACCGGUGGCGAAGGCGGCAUCCUGGGACCGACAUUGACGCUGAUGAGCGAAAGCUAGGGGAGCAAACGGGG
rnacentral:rRNA from 1 species